rnacentral:rRNA from 1 species
GACGAACGCUGGCGGCGUGCUUAACACAUGCAAGUCGAACGGAAAGGCCCCUUUGGGGGUACUCGAGUGGCGAACGGGUGAGUAACACGUGAGUAACCUGCCCUUGACUUCGGGAUAACUUCAGGAAACUGGGGCUAAUACCGGAUAGGAAUCCUUGCUGCAUGGUGGGGGUUGGAAAGCUUCGGCGGUUUUGGAUGGACUCGCGGCUUAUCAGCUUGUUGGUGGGGUAGUGGCUUACCAAGGCUUUGACGGGUAGCCGGCCUGAGAGGGCGACCGGCCACAUUGGGACUGAGAUACGGCCCAGACUCCUACGGGAGGCAGCAGUGGGGAAUAUUGCACAAUGGGCGGAAGCCUGAUGCAGCGACGCCGCGUGCGGGAUGACGGCCUUCGGGUUGUAAACCGCUUUCAGCAGGGGCGAAGCUUGUGGUGACGGUACCUGCAGAAGAAGCACCGGCUAACUACGUG